ACCUUAAUGUUGAAUUUAUAUCAUGACAGAAGGAUUUAUUCUGUAUCUCAAGGCUGCAUUGUAUUCUUCUGUUCUCUAUAGAAACACUCAUGACUUGUUUGAUCUUGCUCGAAAUUAACCUUCAUUGAUUCAGUGUAACUUACUUCCAGGACUGCAGUCAUUAUCUCUCAUAUCACCGCAGUAUAUGAGCCCAAUAAUACUGUAUAUAAAUUGAUUCUGAUAUAGUCCUUAACAUUCCUUUCCCCUUCUGUCUUCCCACACUAUUCUGCAGAGUUUUGCUUUGGUAGCUGUGAUGUCUAUGUAGUGUCACAAUAUGUUGAAUGUCUCCAUUGGGUGGUUAUUUAUGAACCACACAGAAAAAGAAUAUCCCUUGACUAUUCUGUUAAUAGGUAUAUCAGUCUACAGAGGAUAAUAUUUUCAGAAGGAAAUUUUGCAUUAUCUGACGCAGAGAUACAUGUGUAAUAUAUGUGAUACUCUAAAACACUGUAGAAACAAAUGGGGACUCAACAGCUGUAAACAAAAGAAAAGAAAAAGAAAAGAAAAACCAUAAAGAGCUGUUUAGGAAAAAAUGAAAUAUUUUAUUCCCCCCCCCCCCCCAGUUUCCCUUAUAUAAUUAUUCUCAGCUGAUGUGAUCUCCUUCGGUAGUUUUCAGUGGUUUGAGACAGGGCCCUUUGGAUGCUUGCUUAAUUUAAAUAAUGCAUCUAACUAUGAAGAAAGGCUUCAGUUCAUUGGUCUGCCCACCUAUAUUGAGUUAAGAGAACAGCUAAUGUGGAAUUUAGAGUGAAACUGAGGAUUCUGUCCUCAUGGAUCUGGUGUUACUUUUGGCAUCAAAGCUAGCCUGGUGUCUUAUUUAUCAGUUUUGUUUGAUACGUGAGCUAGAAUCCUUUUUUUAAAGAGGGGAGCAUGCACCUACUUAAGUAACCUCUGGCUCUAAGUGGAUGCUGUGGCCCACCUCUUAGGUGGCGUGAAAUGUGGGAACAUAUACAACUAAUUGUAUGCAGCCACACAGGAUACCAAAUGAUUCUAAGAACAGUUCAAGAUGCCCGUUUUUGAACUACAAAAUCACCUUUGACCUGCAGUGAAGAGACUAUCUCACCCUGGAGCACUCUGUCUAUAUUAAACUAUGAAGAUAAUGAAGAGAAAUAUUAACCCUUGGGCCACUUCCCCAUAAAUAAAUCCAUCAAUAAAAGAGCAAAUAAGGUUUUCAUUUUAGUCAUAAAUUUUAAUAGAUGAUUGCAGUUGGGGGAAGACAAGCAGGAAAUAAAUGUGUCUGCAUGUUGCAGAAAUCAAUCGCAGGGAUAUCAAAUAUGAAAAAGUGGAAACAUCUAUCCAACGGAUACAAUUUAUUCACACCGUAAUUGAUUCUCCAGUUCCAUUACAACUUAAAAAAUGGUUUUCUAAAAAGUUGAAUAGGCUGUGAACUUCCUAAUAACUCUUUGUAAUGCCUCCUUCACCUCUUUGUUUCUCAAGCUGUAUAUCAAGGGAUUGACCAUGGGAGUUAGGACAGUAUAGAAGAGAGAAAAUAUUUUCUUCGUGUAUCUGAGUUUCCUUGAUCCUGGGAGCAUAUAAACUAGCAUCAGCGUUCCAUAAAAGAGGGCCACCACCGUGAGGUGAGAUGAGCAGGUGGAGAAGGCCUUUUGUCUUCCAGUGGUAGAUGGGAUUUUGAGGAUUGUAGCAAUGAUGUAAGCAUAGGAGGCCAUUGUGAGAACAAAGGGUGGCAGGGUGAAAAUGCAAACAAAUAUGAAGGCAGACAAUUCUACUAAGUAUGUGUCAGUGCAAGAAAUCUGUUUUAUGUCUGGUAUGACAUCACAGAAGUAAUGAUCAAUGAUGUUGGGGCCACAGAAGGAUAACUGUGAUACCCUAACAGUUAUGCCUGUGCCAACCACGAGUCCACUUACCCAAGAUCCAGCUGCCAACUGUAGGCACAGCCUACUGUUCAUGAGAGUGGCAUAAUGUAAUGGUCUGCACACUGCUAAGUACCUGUCAUAAGACAUCACAGACAAGAGGUAGCAUUCAGAACCUCCCAAGCAAGAAAAUAUAAAAAAUUGUGUGAAGCAGGCUUUUAUAGAUAUAGUUCUUUCUCCGGUCAGAAGUACAGUCAACAUCUUGGGCAGAAUUGUUGAGCUGUAGCAGGAUUCAAGAAAGGAGAGGUUCCCUAGGAAGAAGUACAUGGGAGUGUGGAGAUGUUGGGCAGCCAUAACCAAAAAAACAAUGAGGAGAUUCCCAGCCAUGGUGGCCAAGUAGAUCGUUAAGAAGAGCAUGAAGAGAACAACCUGCAGGUUGAGGAGAUCUCCAAAUCCCAAGAGUAUGAAUUCAGAAACAGUUGUUUGAUUUUGUCCCUCUCUGCUUGCCACGGGCUGCAUCUGGAGAAAACAGAAUGCACCACUUACAACUGCAAGUUGGUGUGUUGUCUUGCAAAUCAACAUUUUAAACCAGAGGAAACUCUCCACAACACUGUUCACUCAUCCUUUUAGUGGAAGUGGUUUUGCACUUCCUCGACUCAUUUUGGGCAAAGGAAGAUGGGAACACAUGGAGCUAGCCUCCUGACGCUCUGGAAACUUGACCAAUAGGGAAGGCCAGGAUGAAUGCCUUUAAAAUGCCUGUCACCACAUAGCUUAUUUCAGGCCACCACAGCAUCCCUCCCAGCUAGCCUUUCAUAUGCAGCCACCUUUCUUAGGGUUGAGUAGAAAAUGUUUGGCUGUUCUCCAACUGGCUUUGAGUUAAUCUCCACUUUUCUGCAUAAUGAGUAUGACAAAUUUGUGUUUUGACUUAUUGAUUGUGUUAAUUUCUUGUUUGCAACAUGGAGAUAGUGUGAGGGCUGCAUACACUGCAUAUAUUUAAAGUACACGCAGACCCAUGGAAACAUCUGGAGAGACUUAUUGGACUAGAUACUUUAAUAUACAUCAUGGAUUUGUUCUUAUUAUUUCUGACUUGAGUUGUACCAUUUCCUAAGAAAUGACAGGCCAACUGCUAUAGUUGCUUACUGCAUUUUAAAUUAUGUUUAUUGCAUGUGGUGAAAAAAUAUGAUAUUUUUGAAGCACACUCAAAGGAAUCCUCGGAACACAGCUACAAUUCCCAGCACCCUUGACAAUCAGUUUCCAGUUUUUGUGUUUUGAGGGGGUGAUGGGCUCUAAAUGAAUGCAGUCUUAGACUUUAACCGAGGAGCCAAGAUAAAGUCUAUCGGUAACAAAAGUGGUUGAAAACAAUGAUAAUUAAUUAUGCAUUCUAUUGGUUUUUAAUGGACAGUAGAAAGAAAAUUAAGGCCACAAUCCACACCCACUUACCUGAGACUAAGGCCCAUAUACUUUAGAGUUAACAUGGUUAGAAUUGCAGCUUUAUUGCAUGCAGGUGGCAUCUAGCCACAAAAACUUACACAAAAUCAACAAACACUUAAGAAAAAAGCAAAGCGAUGAGGCACCUAUCAGAACACUGGGAAUUACACAUCAAUGUCUUUCUAAACAAUGCACAUUGCAAAGUAAUUUUUUAAUCUAUUUACAUAUAAUGUGUUCAUGUAAUCUCCCCCCUUUUUGUGACAGAUAACUAAGGCAAAAAGCAUUCAUAGCAAAAAGAAAAUCCACUUAAUAUCAACUUUUCAGUUGAGUCCUCUAACUUAUUUAGUUAUAAGAUCUUACAGGUAUACGGCAUGAUGACCAUCCUAGAAAACAGCCAUUGCAUUCUGGGAUUGCACAAAAUUUUUGAAUCACUUACUCUAUGUCCUCUCUGUAUCCCUCUAUUAGAAACCUUCUUACCCUGCUGCUUCUUUCAAAUAGUCCUGCCUUGUUGCUUGCAAAUUCAUCAGUCCAUAAUGAGAUGAUCUCUAUAGAAUUAUUAUUUAUAAUCUACCCAGCAAGGUAGAAAAAGUCCCUUGGCAGUUCUGAUAACAAGUGAUAUUAAUGCAUGGCUAAAGCAAAGGAACAAAAGGAAUCAAGAGUUUCAGAGAAGAGUAAACCCAUGUUACCUCGACAACAGAAACCUCCAUGAUUCUCGUUAGUGGCACCCAGGGGUGGAGGAAGGUGGGUGCAGUGGAGGUGGGCCGCCCUGGGUGUCACCACUGAGAGGGGUGACAAAAUGCUGGGCGGCACUCACUGCGAGGCCUGAGCCACGUGUCUCUCCUGGGAGUGACUCGGUAGCUUGGGUGCCAGCAGGCUCUGUGCUGCCCCAUACAGUCCACCCAGUGCCUCCCUCCCUAGCUGUAGGGUGGCUGAGUGGGAGGAGGCAGGCAGACUCCUCGGAGGCCCCGUGGAGCAUCCUGCCCCAGCUCGCCCACCCUGUGGGUGGCUGGCUCCGCCCCUGGGCACACACGCUGCCCCAGGCACCCGAUCUCCUUGCUCCACUGCUGGUGGCACCCUUCCCCUUCAGAUGUCAAGGAAAUAACUACAUAACUUGUAGAAGUCAUACAAGGGCAGCCCUGUAUUGGGAAGUUUUUAAUGUUUGAUGUUUUACACUAUGUUUCAUAUAUACUGUAAGCCACCCAGAGUGGCUGGGGAAACCCAGCCAGAUGGGUGGAGUAUAAAUAAUGAUGAUGAUUAUGAUGAUGUCACAAAGACAAGUUUGAAAUGGAUGGUUAUAAUUCAGUUCUUGUUUGUGUAUUUCAAUUAAUUAUACUCAUAUAUCUUUACUCUUUUCAAUGAAAUCCACUUAAAUACCCAAGGUUAAUGCUGACAAAUAUACUGUAUAUUGGAUUAAAAGUACAUUUCAUUUUCCUUCUGAGCGUGGACAAAAAUAUCUUAUAGCACAGUAGACAAUACUAUUAAAAUACUUGUUCUGCAGCUUUAAAAUGCCCUGUCAAAAGAAAGGAACUUGGUGACAUAUUUCUGCCACACAUGUUAAAACUGACAUAUGGGGCGGGGGUGGGGUGGGGAUUUUUGCACCCACUGCAUUCAAUGUAGCUUCUGAACAAAAGCCCAACAAGUAUAAUGUGUUUGUGCAUUGGUCCAUUUGCACAGCCAGGCACUUGUCACACUUAUGGAGCCUAAAUCUAAUGAAUAUAGGUUGUUCCAGAAAUUAUGCUAAAUGCAUGUGAUGGAAUAAAUGAUAAUGGGUGAUUAACCAUUACAUGUAGUCAUCAUAACAUUUGUAAAGGGCCAUUAGACGAUAGCAAAAUAACCAUCGUUUCACAAGACUAAUUGUUUUUAGUCUGGAGCUUGGAACUGAGUGUUGUUGAAUCUCACGAUAAAGAAAGGCUUCAGUUCAUUGGCCUGCCCACCUAUAUAGAGUUAAGAGAAAAGCUAAAGUGGAAAUAAAAGUGAGAAACUAAUGAAAGUUGAUACUGCUUCUUAGAGUUGCUAGAAAAUACAGAAUACAUACAGAAAACACCAGGACUUAGACAGACACCUUUUAUUACAGAACACACACACACACAAACCUUUCCUCUUCAAAACCUCAAAGUUGGAAACAUGACUAUCUCAGGUAUAUUAAUUGUCAUGUGUCUACUUUGUUCAUAAGAAGAGCCUGUGAGAUCAUGCCAGCGGUCCAUCUAGCCCAUCUAAUCAGAUGCCUGUGGGAAACCCACAAGCAGACCCAAGUACAACAGCUCUCGCCCCUCCUGCAGUUUCCAGCAGUUUCCAGCAACUGGUGUUCAGAAGCAUAAUGUCUCCUGCCAUGGAGAUAGAGCAUAGACAUUGAAAGCCUUGUCCUCCAUGAAUUUGUUCAGUCCUCUUCUAUAGCCAUCCAAGCUGAUAACCAUCACUGCCUCCUGCAGGAAUGAGUUCCAUAGUUUAACUAGGGGUUGACUAAAGAACCACUGUAUUUUAUCUAUCCUAAGUCUUCCAACAUUCAACUUUAUUGGAUGGCAAUGAGUUCUAGUGUUACGAGUGGGGGAUAAAAAACAAAUUAUCUAUCCACUUUCUCCAUGUUAUGCAUAAUUUUAUAAAUGUCUAUCAUGUCACCUCUUACCUUUUAUCAAAACUAAACACUCCCAAAUGCUUCAACCAUUCUUAAUAGGGGAGUUGAUCCAGCCCCUUGAUCAUUUUGCUUGCCCAUUUUUCUGAACCGUUACCAACUCUACAAUAGCUUUUGCAAGGCGAGGCCACCAGAACUAUGCAUCAUAUUCCAAAUGCAGUCACACUUUUGAUUUGUGUAAAGGCAUUAUGAUUCUGGCAGUUUUAUUUUAAAUCCUUUCUCCUAAGAAUCCCGAGCCAUUAUAUAUCCAUUUCCUAAGCAAAAAUCCAUUCGAUAAAGGAAUACGUUAAAUGUAAAACAAUUGGGAAAGAGCAAUAAAUAAUUCUCAUAAUUGUCUCAUAAUUUAAUUUAGUGAGCAUAUGCGUGAAGUGUGUGUGUGUGUGUGUGUGUGUGUGUGUGUCAGUGUCACGCUGUAAUGUAGAAUAGAACCUUCCUGAAGCCCAUUUUCAGGGACUUCUUCACUUCCACGUUUCUCAGGCUGUAUAUGAGGGGAUUGAUCAUGGGGGUGAAGACUGUGUAGAAGAGAGAGAAGACUUUCUUCAUAUGUAUUAAAUCCUUUGACCGAGGGAGCAUAUAGACAAGCAUCAGACUUCCAUAAUACAAGGCAACCACUGUGAGGUGAGAGGAACAGGUGGAGAAGGCCUUUGUCCUUCCAGUGGUGGAUGGGAUUCUGAGGAUUGUGGCUAUGAUGGAAAUAUAGGAGGUUAGGGUGAGGAGGAAGGGAGGUAAGGUGAAAAUACAGGUAAAUAUGAAACCUGAUAGUUCAAAUAAAUGAGUGUCACUACAAGAAAUAUGUCGUAUGCUAGAGCUAACAUCACAAAAAUAAUCAUCAAUUUCCUUGGGACCACAAAAGGAUAACCAUGAGAGUGAUAAGGUUAAGCUUGUGUUAACCAAAACUCCACUCACCCAAGACACAACAUAGUGGAGUGGCUUACAAAUUGCCAAGUACCUGUCAUAAGACAUCAUAGCAAGAAGGUAGCAUUCAGCACCACCCAGGCAAGAAAAGACAAAAAACUGCAAGAAGCAGGCUUGGACAGAUAUACUUUCCCCCCCAGUCAGCAUGCAUGACAACAUUUUAGGCAGGAUGGUUGAGCUGCUGCAAGAUUCCAAGAAGGAGAGGUUCCCUAGGAAGAAGUACAUGGGGGUGUGAAGAUGUCGAUCAGUCACAACCAGUGCAACAAUGAGAAGGUUCCCAGCCAUGGUCACCAAAUAACACAAUAAGAAGAGCAGGAAGAAAAGAAUUUGUAGUUUAAGUUGAUCUCCAAAUCCCAAGAGUAUGAAUUCAGAAAUAGUUGUUUGAUUUUCCCAUACUUUCUUUGCCAUGUGUGCUGCAUCUGGAGAAAGUAGCACAGAGAGUAAACUUAAUGGCUUCACUGUUUUAAAGUGAACUUAAAAGAGUCUCACAUUUAAGUAACUUGCCUAUAUAAUGAAUAGGUUUUUUAUUUGACCAUUUCUAUAGUCAGACAUUACUACUACUACUACUACUACUAUUACUAUUAUGUCUUAUUCACACAUCUCAUUCACACUUCACACAACUAAUGUUGCUUAGAAAAGAAAAAUACAUAAAACACACUGCAGUCCCAUUGGUAAAGAAAAAAAGUUUCCUUACUAACAAUAACUGCAUAUUCACAAGGGUGGUUUUGGAUUCACAAGGAUGGCUUCAUAUUUUGCUUAGAUCUAUCUGUAAUGGGAUCUAUUUUGCUUUAUCUUAUCAAAGUAAAGUUUUCCACUGUUUUUAAAAAGUGCUAUUUUAUAUCAAUCUGCAAAAAGGCUUUGAAAUAUGUGUUCCUGCUUCAUCUCCCCCCCCCUCCAGCAUUUAGAGUUUCUUCUACCAGAAAUUUUCCUACCUCUCUCUGACCCAUCAAAAGAGUUCUAUUUUUGUUUUACGGAUGCCAAGGCCUACAUUAAUCCACAUCAUGAAGUUGAAAGUGUCCCCAGACAUUUAUGAUAAUGAGCCUUUUACUUGUGGGUAGAAGAAAUGCAUUUAAAGAAGCAAGUUUUUCCAAGGGGAAUAGAGCCCUUUUCCCUCAGCCACUUCCUUUGGGAUAUGAGCACAUAGGGGAGACACAAGGACAAUUAUUAUUAUUGUUGUUGAAAAAGAUGGUUCCACUUAAUUUCAGGUUCCAUAUCUGAUUUCUCUUUAUCAUGAAUAUAACUUGUUCUCACAGGAGGCAGGGAUAAGACCACCAGCUUGGAUGGCUGAAAAGAGGAUUAGACAAAUUCAAGGAGGAAAAGGCUAUUGAGGCUACCAGACAUGAUGGCUAUGCCUCACCGCCACAGCUGGAGACAGCAAUGCUUCUGAAUAUCAGUUGCUGGAACCUGCAGGAGGGGAGAGUGUUCUUGUGACUGUGUCCUCAUUGCAUGUUUCAGUAGCAAACAGAGCUGUGCACAGCUCCCCAGUCUAACACUGGACCACAGAAUGUGUUGACCCAGCAAGAGCCAAACCAGGGACCACCAGCCCAACACCAGAUAUGUCCCUGGAGACAACUAUGGUGUGGCUAAUGCUUAGUGAGGGUUUUAAAGCCCUAAUUACACAUACAGUCGAGAGAUGCAACAUAUCCUUCAUCUAUCCCAGCUGAGAGCAGGGCCUGGCUUCAGGGAAGGCUUUUGCAAAGCAGCACCCACAGCAUGAAACACCCCCUGCUCUUGCUCAGGAGAGGAAGUAGUGUUUCCUGUCCCUCCUUCAGUCUUUUCAAGUGUUGCUUUCCAAUAGACUUCCCCUGAUUUACCUUGAGAAGCAAAACCCUGAAGUCCACAGAGUUUAAUCCUCCACUCAGCAGCUGUGGAGCAGACUGCUGCAGCCUUCCUCCCAGACACCCUGACAGCCCAGGACAGUCUUGAUCUGAUUCAGCCCUAGUCCAGAUUCACCUCCCCCCCCAAAAAAAAUAAAUAUUGCCCAAUUUGGUCAGGAUGCAGACUUCAGCCAAAUGUAGUGCACAGCUGUAGUACAGUGGUGCCUUGCAAGACGAAAUUAAUUCGUUCCGCGAGUUUUUUCGUCUAGCGAAUUUUUCAUCUUCCGAUGCACGAAAUCCCAUAGGAAUGCAUUGAAAUUCAAUUAAUGCGUUCCUAUGGUCAAAAAAAAGUCCAAACAAAACCAAAUUUGGUACAACAAGAGUUUAUUAAGUGCUCUUUAAAGUCACACAUACUGUAAAGAGCAUUUCAAAAAUUGAAGGAACAAUAAAUUAAGUUUCUAAACAUGACAGAAAAACAUUUAAAAAUCAACAAAGUGUACAGUACAUUUUCUAAGACUCUGGGGGACAACUCGAAGAAGGUUCCUCUUCCACUCUUUGCUUCUUGCUGAAGAACCUGUCCAUGGUCUGCUGCUUCAUCCGCCUUUUCAGCACCUCCCUGAAAGGCGACAUGACCCUCGUAUCAAAAGUGUUCACAAGGUCAUGUGCCACGUGCUUGUCAGGGUGGUGCCGCUGUGCAAAAGCCUGCACAUCCUUCCACUUCAGGCAAAUGUCCCUCAGUUCUUUGGAGGACAGCCGUUCCUCAGUUGCUUCCUCCUCUUCCAGCGAGGCCUGCUCCUGCGCAGCCUCUGCCUGCAGUUCGACCAGCUCCUGGGUGGUCAGCUCGUGGUUGUGCUCCUCCACCAGCUCGCUGAUGUCCUCCUCUGUGACCUCCAGGCCCAUGGUCCUCCCCAAGGCAACAAUGUCCUGCACCACUGUUGACUCUGGUGCAUCAGAGUCACUUGGUGCCACACAGUCCGGCCACAGGCUGCGCCAAGCGCAAUUCAAAUUUCUCUGGCUGAUCCCGUUCCAGGCCGUGGUGAUCAUCUUCAAGCAGGUGACGAUGUCGAAGUGGUCCUUCCAGAAUUCCCGCAGGGUGAUGGUGGUGCAAUCAGUCACCUCGAAGCAUCGCCUGAAAAGCUCCUUGGUGUAGAGUUCUUUGAAAUUGGCGAUGACCUGCUGAUCCAUCGGCUGGAGCAGUGGCGUGGUGUUAGGCGGCAGGAACAUGAUGCUGAUGAAGCUGAACUCCUCCAACAAGUCCUCCUCAAGGCCUUUAGGACGAGCAGGAGCAUUGUCCAUCAGAAGCAAAGCCUUCAGCGGCAGGUCGUUGUCCAGCAGGUACUGUUUGACAGCAGGGCCAAAAGCAAGAUUGACCCAGUCCACAAACAGCACACGUGUGACCCAAGCCUUACUGUUGGAUCGCCACAUGACACUCAGCUGCUCCUUGUCGACCUUGUGUUUCUUGAAGGCCCGUGGGUUCUCCGAGUGGUACACCAGCAGGGGCUUGAUCUUCAGGUCGCCGCUUGCGUUGGCACAGAAGAGCAGGGUCAGACGGUCCUUCAUGGGCUUGUGGCCAGGCAACUUGGCCUCCUCCUGUGUGAUGAAAGUCCUUUUGGGCAUCCUCUUCCAAAACAGCCCAGUCUCAUCGCAGUUGAAGACCUGCUGUGGAACGUAGCCCUCCGUCUUCACAACCUCCAGGAACUCCGCUGCAAAGUCUUCAGCCGCAGAAACAUCAGAACUGGCAGCCUCUCCAUGCCUGACCACGCUGUGGAUUCCAGAUCUUGUCUUGAACCGGUCAAACCAGCCUCUGCUUGCCUUGAAGACUUCUGGCUCGCCUGAGGUUCCUGGCUGUUCCCGGACGAGGUCUGCGUGCAAGGCCUUGGCCUUCUCACAAAUGACGGCCUCAGUCACUGUGUCCCCUGCACGCUGCUUCUCUUCUAACCAGAUGAGCAGCAACUUCUCCACCUCCUCCAGAACAGCUGGGCGGUUCUUCACGAUCCUGGUGACUCCCUUGGCUGCAUCAGUCGCAAGGAUCUUCUCCCUCAUCUUCAGGAUGGUCCCGAUGGUCGAUGGAUUCCUCCCGUACUCCCUGGCGAGGUCUGUCACACGCAUUCCACCGUCGUGCUUCCGGAUGAUCUCCUUCUUCAUUUCCAGCGUAACCUUCACCUUCUUCCCCUCGCCGGCCUCUGCAGCAGCAGUCUUCUUGGGUCCCAUGGCAGCACAGCUCCUACCUUCGCAAACCCAAAAAAAAAUAUCAGUGCUUCACAUCCAAAAAAUUCAAAAGCACCCAGCCACCCACCACACAGAAAUUCAAACCCAGAACGAAGUCCUUGAAUUCCAAACAGCCCAACCCAAUAUCCAAAACCCCCAAAAAAGUUUUAAAAGUUUAACUUACCAAAUGGCUGCAAAAGAAGUUUUGGAAAAGCUUCAAAAAUCACCAAAGUCUUCAAAAACCUCAAAAAACGCUAUCACACCGUGUGCUAUGAGUUGCUCCUUGAAGUCAAGUCGCAACUGCACCUCUUCAAGCAAUGCACCCUGGGUAUUAAUGGUUUUAAGAAAAAGGAAACAAACUUGCAAGACAUUUUCGUCUUGCGAAGCAAGCCCAUAGGGAAAUUCGUCUUGCGAAGCAGCUCAAAAAACGCAAAACCCUUUCGUCUAGCGAGUUUUUUGUCUUGCGAGGCAUUCGUCUUGCGGGGCACCACUGUAAUAAGGUUUAGGGUUCUUUUUAGGCCUAAAGUGGUACUCUCCUAUUGUUAUAGAAUAGUAAAUACAGGAAGAAGGGAGAGGGUGACAUGAUGGAAAGUUCAGGAAGUGUUCCAUUGCUGGUGAAUUUCCACAGAGCCUCUCCAUGCUCUUGGAUGUUUGUUUUUUGCAGGUAUAUUGACAACAUGGCAUUGAUUUAAUAUUAGUGUGGUCUUUGUGGAUUUACAAUGGGCUGUACACAUAUCAUUUUUCUUUAUUAGUCAUUCUUCCCCAAUGCUAGUGUACUAUUGAUGUUCUGGAGGGGCACUUUUGCACUAUAAUGCAACAAAAGUGGGACAAAAAUAAAUAAACCCUGCCCUGGAACACACAUGCUAUGAAAAGUUACAGGAUUUUUUCAGAAGGCUAUGGGAAAUAAAUGGAUUCAAAACAAGGCAUUUAUAUCUAGCCCAAACCAGUGUUGAAUAUAACUGCAGAUUUGAGUAUUACAUAUAACUGCCCCAAUGUGAUCAUGAGCAGAAAACAACAUGAAUGCACAAAUAAAAGGAUGUCUAAAUGCAGAGUAGUCAGUGAAGGGAGAUGUAUCUCUGAAGUUAGUGUUGUGUACAGAGAUGGACAAAUACCAAAUUACGAAAUGGAUGUAUUG